rnacentral:piRNA from 1 species
UAUUUAGUUUUCGUAAAAUUA